AUUAGUAGGUGGCAAGCGUUAUCCGGAAUUAUUGGGCGUAAAGAGUGAGCAGGCGGUUAAUUAAGUUUGAGGUUAAAGCGUGGGGGUCAACCCCAUAAAGCCUUGGAAACUGAUUUACUAGAGUAAGGGAGAAGUGAAGGGAACUCCAUGUGUAGCGGUGAAAUGCGUAGAUAUAUGGAAGAACACCAGUGGCGAAGGCGCUUCACUAGCCCGAAACUGACGCUCAGUCACGAAAGCGUGGGUAGCAAAUAGGAUUAGAUACCCUAGUAGUCCACGCUGUAAACGAUGACAACUAAAUAUUGCCGCGAGGCAGUGUUGAAGCUAACGCAUUAAGUUGUCCGCCUGGGGAGUACGGUCGCAAGACUGAAACUUAAAGGAAUUGACGGGG
rnacentral:rRNA from 1 species